CCAUGUGGGUGACUGCUGGGGUCCCUUGAUGGCUUCCCCAGUGCAGUGGUGUACAGUCCUGUCCCACAACAUUGGAGAGGAGCUUGUCCCUGGUCAUGAAGACUGCUGCGGACACGUGUGUAUUCCUUAUCUUCUCAGUACUUAGUUGCUGAGGAGAAAAACCAUACAGGGCACAAUU
rnacentral:snoRNA from 1 species